AGUGAACGCUGGCGGUAGGCCUAACACAUGCAAGCCGAACGGCAGCACAGGAGAGCUUGCUCUCUAGGUGGCGAGUGGCGGACGGGUGAGGAAUACAUCGGAAUCUGCCCAGUCGUGGGGGAUAACGUAGGGAAACUUACGCUAAUACCGCAUACGACCUUCGGGUGAAAGAGGGGGAUCGCAAGACCUCUCGCGAUUGGAUGAGCCGAUGUCGGAUUAGCUAGUUAGCGGGGUAAUGGCCCACCAAGGCGACGAUCCGUAGCUGGUCUGAGAGGAUGAUCAGCCACACUGGAACUGAGACACGGUCCAGACUCCUACGGGAGGCAGCAGUGGGGAAUAUUGGACAAUGGGCGCAAGCCUGAUCCAGCCAUACCGCGUGGGUGAAGAAGGCCUUCGGGCUGUAAAGCCCUUUUGUCGGGAAAGAAAUCUUUCAGGCUAAUACCCUGGGAGGAUGACGGUACCCAAAGAAUAAGCACCGGCUAACUUCGUG
rnacentral:rRNA from 1 species